rnacentral:rRNA from 1 species
AUUGAACGCUGGCGGCAUGCCUUACACAUGCGAGUCGAACGGUAGCAGGUCUUCGGAUGCUGACGAGUGGCGAACGGGUGAGUAAUACAUCGGAACGUGCCCGAUCGUGGGGGAUAACGCAGCGAAAGCUGUGCUAAUACCGCAUACGAUCUACGGAUGAAAGCGGGGGAUCUUCGGACCUCGCGCGGACGGAGCGGCCGAUGGCAGAUUAGGUAGUUGGUGGGGUAAAGGCUCACCAAGCCUGCGAUCUGUAGCUGGUCUGAGAGGACGACCAGCCACACUGGGACUGAGCCACGGCCCAGACUCCUACGGGAGGCAGCAGUGGGGAAUUUUGGACAAUGGGCGCAAGCCUGAUCCAGCCAUGCCGCGUGCAGGAUGAAGGCCUUCGGGUUGUAAACUGCUUUUGUACGGAACGAAAAGUCUCUUUUUAAUAAAGAGGGAUCAUGACGGUACCGUAAGAAUAAGCACCGGCUAACUACGUGCCAGCAGCCGCCGUAA